rnacentral:rRNA from 1 species
UACGGGGGGGGCAAGCGUUGUUCGGAAUUACUGGGCGUGAAGGGCUGGUAGGCGGCCAACUAAGUCGGAUGUGAAAUCCCCAGGCUUAACCUGGGAACUGCAUCCGAUACUGGUCGGCUUGAAUCCGGGAGAGGGAUGCAGAAUUCCAGGUGUAGCGGUGAAAUGCGUAGAUAUCUGGAGGAAUACCGGUGGCGAAGGCGGCAUCCUGGACCGGCAUUGACGCUGAACAGCGAAAGCUAGGGGAGCAAACGGG